CUUACUUAUUCCAAAUGUAGCCGGUAUCUGAGUGUACCUACAUCCUUCGUUAGUUUCAUCAGCAUCCUACAGAUAAGGAAGCCGUACAUUUGUUACCAUUACCAUUACUCAUACUUGCCACGGUAUUGUGGGUCCUGUCAUAUUCAGAACGUUAUGCUUUCCGUGCUACAGCCGACUGGUGUAUGGGUGCACUCAUGAAAUAGUGAAUCCGUUGAGAAAGGAAAUUAUAUUCGGAUUGCUUUAUAUUUGCAUUUUCCGUCUCGGUUCUCUGCCGUUCCACCACGUGAAGGAUACCAAUUUGCGUUGCACUUGCUGGAAAGAAGUGGAUUGCUAUCUACUACGAGCAUCUGUUAUUGGAUUGGGAAAUAUCACUCGAAUCGCACAAGGGACGUUUAUAUCAAAAGAUGCCUGGCAAGUGGUCCAUCUCUCUGAUGCUAGUCUCCUUGUGAUUGCCAGAUGGAUACAAUGCUUACCAGAUUCCCGUAAUCUUAUGACCUGCAUUGGAGUAUCGAACAGUUGAAAAAUAAAUACUUAAUGUUUGCUCAACGACCAGAAAUAACUUAUUGAACAAUUUGAAUGGACGGUUUAAAUUGUGUUAUAUCUUGUCAGGGGACGUUUUAAACAUCAUAUCAGGUAGAAUACAAGUUAACACCCUUCUCGACCGGCAUCACCGGAUGAGACAAUACCAACAUAGAUGAUCUAGAGCAGGACCACCCAAGCCGAUGAUGUUCAACCGCGCCGACAACAUUUGACCAUGCCGACGACAUCAAGCUGCAAUGCCGCCCGAACUAGAUUAAACAAUUCCCGGACCGACGCAACAGGAUGCAUUUCACACCUGCACGCCAACGACGAUAGAUCCCAUGCCGUACGCUAAGCAGGAGGAAAAUAACAUGAAACUAACCCCUAGAUAUAAGAGUGUUAGAUUCUAGAAACUAACUCAGUUAUAAUUUCGACUCUAAAGAAUAAAGUUCGGUCAUUUCAAAC